UAUUUAAGAACAUAAAACUCUCAUCUCAACUCAUCUCAUCUCCAACAACUCAAAAAGACAACCCAAAGCCAAGUUUCCAAGAAGUUUGGGAAGAGAAUGAAGACAGUUCUGGUAGCUUGCUUGGUUCUAAGCUUUGUGGUCGUAGGGAUCUCCGAACCCACAGAAUAUGUCGGCGGCGCCAAUUGCUACAUCGGCUGCAUUAGUAGCUGCCUAGACAGUACCUUCCAGUGCGCUUUGUGCAUUGGAAAAUGCAUGAUAAGCGUCGAGUCCUCCCCGACGCAGGCCAUCCAUAUGGACAAUCGUUACUUCUGCAAGCUUGGCUGUUCCACUUCUCGCUGCUCCAAGCUCCUCCUUAACAACCAUCCAAAUGAGAAGCAAAUGAAAGGCUGUGUCAACUCGUGCUCGCAUACAUGCACGAACACCAUGAACUAAUAAGAUCUACGUGACAUGACAUGACGAGCUAGAACUUGGCUUUAUGAUACUAUAAAUAAAUAAAUAAACGUCAAUAUUGGUAUUACAAAUCCAAAUUGACUAUAAGUUAUGUUAUGUAUUAAAGUUUGUACUUAUAUCUAUCAAUAAUAUUUAUGUGAAAUAAAUAAAGUUGCUUACGUGAGAAUGGUUUACGAA